AAUCAGUUUUAUUUAAGAAUUUCCAACAAUGACAACUCUUAUAAAAAGCAUCCAAGCACAGGACACAGAACUGCAGCAAACAGCAUUCUUAUGGGUAGCUAACAGACAUUAGAACUUCUACCCUUCUUUGAGACACCAGAGUUCACUGGUGAACUCUGCUUCCAAGUCCUCCUGCAAAGCACACCACAAGCUCAGUCCAUGUUCUCAGCCCAUCAGCUUCAGUUCACAUUGCCACACUUACAUAUCAGUAACAGAAGAGAACACACACCAUACAGCAUUCACAGCAGUUGACAAAGGGGUAGGGGGAGUACAAGUAUCAUUUCACUUAACACGUUCAAAUAAAGUGGGUUAUCUAAGAACAAAAACUCACUUAAAGUCUUCCAACAGACGUGUAUGUCCUUUGAAUGCAAAAAACAUUCGUACAUUAUUUGCUAUCAUUGCUGUCCGCACACUGUCACCAAAGCCGCAGGAUUGAGAGACACAUCUCGCCAAGUUAAAAAAUAUCCGUUAUGCACCGCCAAGUCUCUGCACGUGCUCUCUCCUUUUCUCACUCAUACUAGCCUUUCACGCCUCGGCACCACCGUCAAUCCCACACAAGGUUUCAAAAGUUCAAACAGCCUUCUGGUUCCAUAUCACAGCCUUGCGUUCACAGCGUUGAUACGACUCCAUGAAAUAAAGAGUAGCAGAUAAAAAUGGGACACCCACCGUCAAAGACACGGCCUGUGAUGCGUGAUGACGAAUUCUUGAAUGAGAAGGCAUGUAGACAGAAGUGUUCCUAUGGCAGAAUAUUUACAGCACUACUUUCAAUCAAGUGCUUCUUCCAUAAACAUUUGAAAUGAGAUGAACUGCAGAGAUUAAAUGAAGGCUUCAUAUUGUACUUUUGUAUUUGAGGGGAGACAAGUGUUAAAAAACAAAACAAAAGAACCAAACUGUGACACCAUGAUCUCCUAAAAGGAGAUUUUCUUAAGGAAAAAAAUCCAUAUGGUGCGGUUCAAAUUAAAAGAAGGAAUAAAGAAAGUAGUUCUAAUCAAUGGCUUCCAUUUUGAACAUGCAAAGAAUUCACUUGACAAGUCCAGGGAUAAAAUAUUACAGGAGAAACCUUUUGAUAUCAAUUGUAGUGUGUUGGUUUACCAGUCAGGCAAACAGCAGUUCACUUUUAACCACUCGAUAUUUCAACCUUUCCUGUAACAAAACUUAUAAAAUUCCUUUAGCUGUUCCUUUUUCUAAAGAAAAAUGUCAAAAAUACUGCUGAAUAUACUCCACACUGAACAAACCAAUUUUGAAAAUUCUUAGUACAUAUGUAUUUUACAAUAUACUUACCAUGAGUUUAGAAAAAUUUGAUUUCCGACCAUUCUAUACCAACCAACCACAACCCCACUGUCUACGUUCCCCAGCCAGAAGACUUAGAAUCCAUGCUUGAGCCAAAGCCGCCAUUAAAACCACUGCCCAACCCUGCAUUUGAUCCUGAUCCCCAACCAAUUGCUGCACCAAAAUUAGAAUCACUAUAAGAGUUAUUUCCAGAACCGAAGGCCUGGUUUGGCUCCCUCUGCAUGUUGCCUUGGCUUUGGUUAUUAUCCGAUGGGCCUGGCCGGUUCGCUGGCUGGCUAACACGCCCAUCGUACACCAACUGCUCUGUGGUGCUGCCUGGGGGGCAGCCAUAAUGCCUGGAUUAAUGUUGAAUGCACCAAAGUUUAUCCCACCACCCAUAUUACUACCUUGAUUGUUUCCCAAACCAGCUCCACCCCCUCUACUAUUACCAAAUCCACCCUGAUUCCCAAAGCCACCUGGAUUAUCACCAAAAUCUUCCACUUCUUUCUGUCUAUUGCUAUUGUGCUUGGGUUCGGCAUUGGAUAUAUGAACGCUGAUUCCUUUAAUCAAGUCCUCUCCACAAAGACACUGCACAAUCUGAUCAUCUGCAAAUGGAACAAAGGCCAAAGGCCCUGAACGGCUUGGGGAUGAAGACGUCCAUCACAUCCCCAUACUCAGAGAAGAACUCCCACAGCUCAUCCUCAGUCAUGUCCUCUGUAGAGCGCCCCACAAACACUUUUCUGCUUCUCAAAGGCUCAUCUUGGCUUUGCUGCACCAUAAGAACUUCUCCAAAAGCACUACAAUACUCUUUCAGGUACUGUUCAGUUGUUUUCCACGGGAGACCCAACACUAUUAAAUCGGACUGUUCUUUUCACUUUCACUGCUGAUGAAGCAUCCGUCUCACCCAUUUUUCUUUUGUUAUCUUUCGGAUAGUUGACAAUAUGCACCAGAUUUCUCCAGCCAGCAUCGGGGGCAUGCAGAAUUCCUUCUACCAGCCGGACACCUCUCAUACAUUGAGACACUGGAUUCCUGUAGCGAAGCCCACACGCCCCUGGAAACUGGGCUGUGACCGUGGACAGCAGCACCUUCCCAUCGUCUUCCGAUGGUAUUUCAAUGGGCUCAUCGUUCUCAUCUUCGGUUACCCGAAUAUAUUCAGACAUCUUUUACUUUUCCACUAGGCCGCUGCUGGGAAGCCCGACAGGGACACCGAGGCAGCGACGGACCCAAGCGCCAGUUUUUUUGUUUUUUUUUUAAAGAGGCCACCACAGGCUGAGGCGGGACUACAACUCCCAGAGGCCGCCGCGGCCCGGAGGCCACGCCCCUUGGCGGCAAGCUCUGAGCCCUUUGCGGCAUUUGACACUCGACAUCCUCGUGCUUCUUAAAGCACGUGCCCAACGGUGAGCAACGGCACCCAACGGUGCCCGAGGGACUCGCGCUGCCCGUUAAGCAGCUUUGCGGUGGCGGAGGCUGGGCUGCCAUCUCUCCGACAUCCCGGGACAGAGGAAGAGAUGAAGGCUCUGCAGCCCCCGUUGUCCGAUUUACACUUGAGGAAGCGAAGGCGAGAGAGGUCGUCUGCGGGGCCAGCCCAGGGCUGCCGGGGGGACCCUGCCCUAGAGAGCCGGGCGCGGGCUGCAGGGCCUGGCGGCCUGGACGGCGGAGCGUUGAAAGCUCCCCCAGGGAUAGGAAGUGCAGCCGAAAUCAACGACUGAGGUCAUGAAGGAGGGGACGCUUGAGGCCGUGGAGGGGAAGCAGGUUUCUCCAGGAGGGAACCCGGGCCUCCGCUUUGCUCAGCGUUCCCCUCGCGAAUGUGUUGAGCACCUGUUAUGUGCUGGGGGUACAGAGGGUCUGAGCACCUCCCUCAUGCAGGCUCCCAAGUUCACCAUGCUGAGAAAGACCUGCGGGAGACAGCAGGAGGACAGCUGGGGAAUGGGCCCGCACGUGCCCAGAGGCCCUGAUGGUGUCGUCUUGGGAGUGGAGGAACCUGAGGGAAAAUCGCAGGGGUGAGUCGGGGAGAGCUCUGCCCUGGUGCCCUGGCACGUAUCCACAUGGGCCGCAGCUGCACCCGGCUCUCAGCAGAGGGCAUCGCCAUGCUUCUGGGCACCGCCGGGCCGUCUCGCCUCCCUGCGGCUCCUGAUGCCUCCCAGGCUCCGCUGAGGUCACCUUGGGCACUUAGCGUGGCUGCAGCUCUUUGCAGCCCUGUGUCCUGUCAUCCAUGUGGCCGUCAUGUGGUCACUUUUGGGCAUUGCGCUGUGUAAGGUCCAUGGGGACUGGGCACCUUUGGCCAUUCUUUCUUUGGUUGUCUGUGCAAGUAAUAAACUAAAUCUGAAAAGGU